rnacentral:rRNA from 1 species
AAACAACAGGGAUUGCUCAGUAACGGCGAGUGAAGCGGCAACAGCUCAAAUUUGAAAUCUGGCCCUUGGGUCCGAGUUGUAAUUUGCAGAGGAUGCUUUUGGCGAGGUGCCUUCCGAGUUCCCUGGAACGGGACGCCAUAGAGGGUGAGAGCCCCGUCCGGUCGUGUCACCAAGCCUCUGUAAAGCUCCUUCGACGAGUCGAGUAGUUUGGGAAUGCUGCUCUAAAUGGGAGGUGUAUGUCUUCUAAAGCUAAAUACCGGCCAGAGACCGAUAGCGCACAAGUAGAGUGAUCGAAAGAUGAAAAGUACUCUGAAGAGAGAGUUAAAUAGCACGUGAAAUUGUUGAAGGGGAAGCGUUUAUGACCAGACUUGGGGUCGGCCGAUCAUCCAGCGUUCUCGCUGGUGCACUCGGCCGAUCUUAGGCCAGCAUCAGUUUGCGCCGGGGGAUAAAGGUUUCGGGAAUGUAGCUCUUUCGGGAGUGUUAUAGACCGUUGCGUAAUACCCUGGGGCAGACUGAGGAACGCGCUUCGGCUCGGAUGCUGGCGUAAUGUCAUCAACGACCCGUCUUGAAACACGGACCAAGGAGUCGUCCUCGUAUGCGAGUGUUCGGGUGUCAAACCCCUACGCGGAAUGAAAGUGAACGUAGGUGAGAGCUUCGGCGCAUCACCGACCGAUCCUGAUGUUCUCGGAUGGAUUUGAGUAAGAGCAUACGGGGCCGGACCCGAAAGAAUGGUGAACUAUGCCUGUGUAGGGUGAAGCCAGAGGAAACUCUGGUGGAGGCUCGCAGCGGUUCUGACGUGCAAAUCGAUCGUCAAACAUGGGCAUGGGGGCG